rnacentral:rRNA from 1 species
GUGUCAGCAGCCGCGGUAAUACAGAGGUGGCAAGCGUUGCUCGGUAUCACUGGGCUUAAAGGGCGCGUAGGCGGUGCGGUACGGUUUCGGUGAAAUCCCUCGGCCCAACCGAGGAACAGCCGGAGCUACGGCCGCACUAGACGGCAUCAGGGGACAGUGGAACUUCCGGUGGAGCGGUGAAAUGCGUAGAUAUCGGAAGGAACGCCGGUGGCGAAAGCGACUGUCUGGGGUGCCUGUGACGCUGAGGCGCGAAAGCCAGGGGAUCAAACGGGAUUAGAUACCCUGGUAGUCC